rnacentral:sRNA from 1 species
GCGCUGGAGCGAUUCGGUGGCACGUGGGGCCACGGCGUGGGAGUAGGGGGCUGAAGGCAGGCAGCAGCGGCCAGGGCCGCCCUCUGCUAGCCGCUUGGGUCUCGGAAUACCCCUCUUCUUCCUGUAGGUGUGGGACGUGCGUGCGGCGAGAUGGACACUCCCCCGCUCUCGGAUUCGGAGUCGGAAUCCGAUGAAUCCCUUGUCACAGACAGAGAGUUGCAGGAUGCGUUUUCCCGAGGGCUUCUGAAGCCAGGCCUCAAUGUCGUGCUAGAGGGGCCGAAGAAGGCCGUGAACGACGUGAAUGGCCUGAAGCAAUGUUUGGCAGAAUUCAAGCGGGAUCUGGAAUGGGUUGAAAGGCUCGAUGUGACACUGGGUCCGGUACCGGAGAUCGGUGGAUCUGAGGCGCCAGCACCUCAGAACAAGGACCAGAAAGCUGUUGAUCCAGAAGACGACUUCCAGCGAGAGAUGAGUUUGUAUGUUUGUUUUCAAAUGUUGGAGAAGUUGAGGAUCCUUGUGCAGGAGAGUGGGAAAGAGGGGAAAUUAGUAAGUCUGCACUCAGAAUAAGCCUAGGAGUAGGGAGAGCGGCUUCUUUUGACUAAGAAUAGCUAGGAGAUUCUUCCUGUUUGAGAGAAGAGCUCUUUGGUCCACGGUCACGAUCCAAAAUCCACUUUAUGGGCUAAUUUGAAAUAUUCAUGUUAAAACUUUUUGUGCAUGCUUCAGUUAUUAGGAAAACAAACAAACAAACAUUGCUUAUGGGAUGUUCUUGUGUGGAAUUGCCUUAGUAAUUACAUAAGAAUCCAUAAUCGACAUUGGUUUGUGUUAAUGGGUACCUUUAGAGUAGUCAUUCUCUUAAACUAUUUUUAGCAACACCCCUCCCCUUUUUAAAAACUAGUAUACGGCUACAUUUCUUUUAGAUACUAAAUCAGUGAGACAGUUUUUGUUUGUUCUUGCUAAUGGAGGUCAGAUUUUGAGAGUCCUUCUGAGCUUGGAUAACUCAUGAUUGG